UACGGAGGGGGCUAGCGUUGUUCGGAAUUACUGGGCGUAAAGCGCGCGUAGGCGGACCUGCAAGUCGGGGGUGAAAGCCCGGAGGCUCAACCUCGGAACUGCCUUCGAUACUGCGGUCUCGAGUCCGGGAGAGGUGAGUGGAAUUCCGUAGUGUAGAGGUGAAAUUCGUAGAUAUCGAAGAGGAACAACCGGUGGCGAAGGGCGGCCUUACUGGGACCAUGUGUACUGAGCGACCUGGAG
rnacentral:rRNA from 1 species